rnacentral:misc_RNA from 1 species
GACACCGCAGUCCUAGGAAAAAUUACGAAACUAGGAGAAAUGUGAAAAUCACAGAAAAAUGUUGAAAACCAGAUCAAAUAAUUAAGUCAGGGUUCUGGAAGAAAUACCGAAUUAUUUAUAAACCAUAUCAGACCGGCAAUGGGUAAAUUGAUCAAUUCAUCCCUAGAGGUGACUCAUGGCCUCACUGUCCACUAAAAUUUGAGAAAUGAAAAUAUUGAAAUAGAGAAUUAAAUUAAAGAAAUAAGGAA